rnacentral:rRNA from 1 species
AGUGAACGCUGGCGGUAGGCCUAACACAUGCAAGUCGAACGGCAGCACAGUAAGAGCUUGCUCUUACGGGUGGCGAGUGGCGUACGGGUGAGGAAUACAUCGGAAUCUACUUUUUCGGGGGGGAUAACGUAGGGAAACUUACGCUAAUACCGCAUACGACCUACGGGUGAAAGAAGGGGAUCUUCGGACUUUGCGCGAUUGAAUGAGCCGAUGUCGGAUUAGCUAGUUGGCGGGGUAAAGGCCCACCAAGGCGACGCUCCGUAGCUGGUCUGAGAGGAUGAGCAGCCACACUGGAACUGAGACACGGUCCAGACUCCUACGGGAGGCAGCAGUGGGGAAUAUUGGACAAUGGGCGCAAGCCUGAUCCAGCCAUACCGCGUGGGUGAAGAAGGCCUUCGGGUUGUAAAGCCCUUUUGUUGGGAAAGAAAAGCAGCAGGUUAAUACCCCGCUGUUCUGACGGUACCCAAAGAAUAAGCACCGGCUAACUUCGUG